AUUGAACUGCAGUAGUAAAACAAAAGUCAAGAUGACUGGUGAUGGCCCAGGAUGCAGUGGAUGAUCUUGAUGUCUUCCAUAUCUGACCAAAUCCUAAGAAUUCCAUAGCUCCUGCUUCAGUCACCUUCCUGGCCAUUGGAAGAAAUUGUUCUCACCUGCCCAUUCUGCCAGGGUGUGACCCAUUGGAUAGAGUUGCCAACGGUCUCAAGGUACAACAGACACAAAAGGAAGGUCCUGUCUCCCACGGACUGGUAUUAAUUGAGUUAUAGAUCUCAUCAAGGAGGUUCUGCAAAGUUCCAUCAUUUACUACAACCAGAACACUGUUAAUCUGCAAACUUGUUACCUGACACAUCUCAAAUGAACGUUCCUCAUUUUAAUACCAACAUUUCCUAGGUGAGAGGCAAUAUGGUAUUGUAUUGAAAGAAUUAACCUUUGGGUCUGAAAAACCUGUCCUUAAUAUAUGACAAUUUUAUGUUUCUGGGCAAGUCAAUCUGCCAGUGCCCAGAGCAACUCUAAAGAAUAUAAGCUAUAGAAAAAAAUGUUGAUGUGCAUUUUAUAGGGAGAAUUCCUCCCUAUGGAUUACCUGAACUGAUGAAAUUAGAGGUUGGGUCAAAACAAAUAAUUCUCCCAGUGUUUGGCAGCAAAUUAGGGAAGACUACAAUUUCCAAAGUACUGACAAUGUUUAUCACUUCCAGAAUAAUUGAGAUGGCUCUACGUGUCUGUCUAUAUUGUACAAAGGGAAUAGGAAGAACUGAAGAAGUAGAAUACCCUUAUUAAUAAUCCAUGUAUUCUACUGCAGUUUUAAGAAUGUUAAGAGAAAGUAAGGUAGGUCCUCAGCAUUUGAUUGGAAACCCUGUGGUAAACUCAUGGGAAGACAUGUACAAGACUCAUAGAAAAUGGGUAGGCAUGGAUAGUUUUGUCUUCUACUUUGUUGGAAGGAAUAUCCAAAAUAUGAGAUAAAUCUGAAUAUUUGAGUUUAAAGAAAAGAACUAUCUUACAGCUUUAGCUUGUCCCCAAAUGGAAAGAACAGGUGAAAUCUUUGGUACUUGAAAAUUUUAAGCAGAAACUUUAUGACUAUUUGUAAGACAUUCUAGAAAUGGGAUUAAUACUUGGAGAAUAGUCAAAGGAGAAGAUCUCUGAAGUCUCUUCCAUUUUUAUAUUUCUGUGAUCCAUUCUGCAUGGUUUUCUAAAGGACUAUAUUCCAUGCUUCCUGGCCUUAUCAACAUUAACAUAGAUAUGUGACUUCAAGUGAGUCAGUUAACUAAUUUAUGCUUCUAUUAGUCCUCACCUCUAAAAUGAGAGAGUUUGACAAAGAUAACUUCUGAGAUUUCUUCGAGUUUUAUAAGUGAUAGAAUGAAAGGCAUAUAAUUGCAUGAACUCAAGUUUUAUCAUCAGAAAAAUAGGAAUAACAAUAUUUAUACCAUAUGCCUCUUAGGGUUGUUGUACGUAGGGGAAGCACUUUGUUGAAAUAUAAACAUGUGAGGCAUUAAUAAGUCUUAAAUGCUAUAGAAAUGUUUUUAUACUAAUGAUGAAGAUGACAAUACCUAUGCAGAGUGCUUUGAAAGCCUUAAUGUGCUUUACAUACUUUACUCAUUGGAUUCUCAAAAUGACCCAGAAUGUUAUUAAAUUAUUAUUUUCCCCAUUUUUAGAUGUAAAAAUUGAUCCUCAUUCACCAAUAGUGGUCAAAUGACUUAUUAUUAUUAUAUUAUAACUAAUAAGGGUUGGAGUUGGGAUACAGAGUUAUUGGUUUAUUUUAAGUCUCAAACUUUCUCAAUUAUAACAGAUUCUCUCUUUAAUCUAAUUAGUCACUCUAACCACAGAAUUUAAGGCAAAUUGAGAUCACACAGCCCAAUGCCUCUCUCUAUCUCUGCCUCUGUC